AUGCCGUGCUGCUGGCAGAGUAGAUCCCGGGGGAGGGAGGGAGCCCUCUGGGCUCUAGUAGUAGGCGGGCGGGGGCGCGAGGUUGAGGUGGCCGUAGGCGCGGUAGGAGGCGCCGUCCUGGAGGUGGAUGCUGGAGGAGAGCUUGUGGAAGCCGCGGGUGUAGACGCCGAAGCCGAAGACGAGGCCGACGGCGAUGAGCACGAGGAUGAUGAGCAUGCAAAUGCAGCACGCCUUGCUCGGGCAGCAGCACAUCUUGCUGAUCUUCCUCCUCCGGCUUCGGCUCCUGGCUCCGCUCCGAGGUAG
rnacentral:rRNA from 1 species